GACGAACGCUGGCGGCGUGCUUAACACAUGCAAGUCGAACGGAAAGGCCCUGCUUUUGUGGGGUGCUCGAGUGGCGAACGGGUGAGUAACACGUGAGUAACCUGCCCUUGACUUUGGGAUAACUUCAGGAAACUGGGGCUAAUACCGGAUAGGAGCUCCUGCUGCAUGGUGGGGGUUGGAAAGUUUCGGCGGUUGGGGAUGGACUCGCGGCUUAUCAGCUUGUUGGUGGGGUAGUGGCUUACCAAGGCUUUGACGGGUAGCCGGCCUGAGAGGGUGACCGGCCACAUUGGGACUGAGAUACGGCCCAGACUCCUACGGGAGGCAGCAGUGGGGAAUAUUGCACAAUGGGCGGAAGCCUGAUGCGGCAACGCCGCGUGCGGGAUGACGGCCUUCGGGUUGUAAACCGCUGUCGCCUGUUACGAAGCGUGAGUGACGGUAAUGGGUAAAGAAGCACCGGCUAACUACGUG
rnacentral:rRNA from 1 species